rnacentral:rRNA from 1 species
AUGAAGGUCUUUGUGGUCGUCUUCCUGCUCCUUGUGGCCACAGGGUUCCAGGGACCGGUGCAAGUAGCUUUGGCGAGGGAUUGUACUUCACAGAGCCACGAGUUUGUGGGGAUGUGCCUGAGUGACCGCAACUGUGCAAGUGUUUGCCAGACCGAGUAUUUCACCGGAGGCAAGUGCGACCACCGACGUUGUGUCUGCACCAAGGACUGCUAG